rnacentral:lncRNA from 1 species
GUAGCGCUUGCUGAGCGGCGGCGGCAACCGACGUACACAAGGGGCUUGAGCGUUCUGUGGAGAGAGUGCGAGGUCAGGCCAUGAACUUGGGAGAUGGUUUAAAGCUUGAAACUGAAUUACUGGAUGGAAAAACCAAGCUAAUAUUGUCUCCAUAUGAACAUAAAUCAAAAAUUUCUGUGAAGUGUCUUAAAGUCUUUGCUUGUCUGUGGAUAGAACCCAGUUUGGAUGAUGUACCACUUUAUCCUUCAACUCUAAGCCCUUGAUGGCUUUACUUGCAGGUUUAAUUAAGGUGAAGAAGUUGCUGGAGUACCCGAAAUAUCACUCAAUAAAUAGAUGGGAAAUAAGGCCAAGAUUGCAAAAUGUCCUUUAAGAACAAAAACUGGGCACAUUCUAAAAUCAACACAAGAUACUUGUAUUGGGAGUGAAAAACUUUUGCAAAAGAAGCCAGUUGGUUCAGAAACAUCACAGGCAAAAGAAAGAGAUUUCACCUGCAACCCCUAAUAUGCAGAAGACUAGAAACACCGUAAAUACAUCUCUAGUAGGUAAACAGAAGCCUCACAAAAAACACAUCACAGCUGAAAACAUGAAGAGCAGUUUGGUGUGUCUAACACAAGACCAACUACAACAGAUUUUGAUGACUGUAAACCAAGGAAAUAGAUCUCUUUCCCUGACUGAGAAUGGAAAGGAGGCAAAAAGUAAGAUUUUUCUA